rnacentral:rRNA from 1 species
GAGUGAACGCUGGCGGCGUGCCUAACACAUGCAAGUCGAGCGGGGUUACUGCCGUAGCAAUACGGUGUGUGCCCAGCGGCAGACGGGUGAUUAACACGUAGACAACCUCCCUCCCAGAGGGGGAUAGCCCGCCGAAAGGCGGGGUAAUACCGCGUACGAUUCGCCGGAGGCAUCUUUGGCGAAUGGAACAUCCGCAAGGAUGGCUGGGAGACGGGUCUGCGGCCUAUCAGCUAGUUGGUGAGGUCACGGCUCACCAAGGCUACGACGGGUAACCGGCCUGAAAGGGCGAUCGGUCACACUGGCACUGAGACACGGGCCAGACACCUACGGGUGGCAGCAGUGAGGAAUUUUGGACAAUGGGGGAAACCCUGAUCCAGCGACGCCGCGUGGAGGACGAAGGUCUUCGGAUUGUAAACUCCUUUUGUUCGGGACUAAGAUACCUAUAGAAAUAUAGGGGAGUGAAGGUACCGAACGAAUAAGCCACGG